GAAUUCUGAUCCACUCAUAAAGACCCCAUGGUGUGACAAAAGCGGUUAUGGGUCUGCUCUCCUUCGUCAUAAAGCCCUGAUGGUACGCUUUCCCUUGAUCUAACAGAGAGAACCAACAGUUUCCUCCGAGGCCAUCCAUUAUGUCUUGCACUCUGGGGAUAGGCUGGCGGUCAGGGAGGGUCUUUCUGUUCACUUCGCGAAAGUCUAUGCACAGUCGGAGACUCCCAUCCUUCUUUCGAACGCACACGACUGGUGAUGCAUACGGUGAAUUAGACUUCUCCACCCAACCCUGAGCGAUGAGAUCAUUCAAGUAGUCUUUCAUUUCCCGAUAAAGUGGCUUAGGCACCGAGAGGUAUGCUUUUGCGACAGGCUCCGUGUCUUUCAGGGAAAUGCUGAGUUGAAGUUUUUCGAUACAACCGAUAUCAUCCUCUGUUCUUGAAAAGGAGGCACACUCCUCUCGUAACAUCUUGCUAACUAUCUCACGUUCUGGCUCACUGAGGUGGCCCAAAUCCACAGGUGGAUCCCAAACAUUGCCUGUAGUCAGAUCCUUUUCAGCGCUGAUGUGAUUUGUUGUAGCUGAAGGCGGAGGGCGUGACCCCUCUAGUAUGGAGGCGGGGUAGACUGUUUGGACCUGCUGGACAGUCCCGACUACAGUUUUCCCUGGUAACAUCAUGUCAUGGUCUGUAAUAUUCUGCACACUUACACUAAUAGAGGGUUUUUUUCUGUCCUUAUCUACUUUCACCAGCAUGUCACAUAGUUCAAGUCCCUCUGCCCAGCGGGGGUUCACAUCUGGCUCGAAGAGAAAUAUGUUGUCUUCAUGUGGAGAAUCCAUGUUUACAUGACACUCAACUCUGACUGAUGUGCGUUUUGGUAUGUUAAUCCUCCCCCUUUUUGUCCUGACGAUAUACUCAUCCCCUAGUGUGGUGCUGACUUGUUCUACCGCAGCAGUUACCUGCUCCACAAAGGCUGCUGCUUGUCCUGGAAAGGCUGCCCUUACUGUUCUACUUAACCCUUCCCUGUCAGUGGUGUUUGACUGUUUCAGCUCACUGUCUAUAAUAAUCCUAAUCACAUUAGACCCAAUGAUAGGUUGGACAAGCUUACCACCCUUCAUUACAAGUGUGGGGACAAUAACUUCUGUGUUGGAUGCAGCUCCUGAAGCUAAUCUAAAAGUUACCUCGACCCAACCAGUGUAUGGCAUACUCUCCCCAUUUGCUGCCUGUAUGUCAAAAGUCUGUGUUGUAUCUAGAAUUUCGGUUAUGCCUCUUAGUCUUGCAUUUGGCAGGUGUGUUUCUUUCCAUCUCUCAUCAAUUAUGGUCACUUGGGAGCCUGAGUCCCACAGAGCCUGAACACUUUGGCCUUGGAUGAAGCAAUCAACAAUGUGUUUUCCUCCUACCAAUGGCGCCCUUUUUGCCCUUUUGUCCUUCUUUGGAGCGGUGUUUGUAGUCAUACAUGGGAGUGCUUGACAUUCUCUUUUGUGUGCUGCCAAAUUAUCAACUUGACAUGGCGUAGACUCGCAAAACACUUUCUUACAGGAUGCACAUUGCUGGGACAUUGCUACAUUACUAGUCACUCCCUGUCCCGUGCGAGUGACCUUCCCCCGUUUAAAGCCUCACCUCCGAACUGUCUCUGUCCCCUUGCUCGACAACCAGCCAGAAAGUGCUCGCUGCUGCCACACCUAUAACAGUGCGUGCAAUAAUCUUCAGCGCCACUCUGUUGGCAACUAAAACAUUUUCUCCUUUGAUCACGACGUGAUGCGGGGAAGUUGGGCUGUGGGGCAAACCUUUGCUGAUACUGAGCAGUUCCUCCUCUGUGUCUGGAGCCCGCAGAAAACCAGUAGCCCUGUGGCGGAUCCUGCAUCUGCUGACCUGAGAAUUGCAGUCCUAAUGCGCCAUCGGCCCCCCCUGCUGGCGGUGGUUGUAUGGACUCCCUAAUCAGAAGCUUCGCUGGACUGCACUGAAUGGAUGGUAACAGGUCUUUGUUGUCCUGAUAAUUUUUUCUUGUUCUGCCUCUCGGUCUCAUAAGCACAUGCUGUAUUCACUCGCUCAAGCAACAGUUCAUCAGCGAUGUCAGUUUGCUCCAAGUAAGGCUGAAGAUCCCGCCUGAUGUUGUCAUUCUGCAGGCCAGUUAGCACAGUGUGAAGAAACAUCUUCUGCACUAACCCAGGGUCAUAUUGGAGACCUGACUCAGAUUCCUGCGAAGCGAACAAAAUUUUUUGUCUCAGGUCGAAAGUGCGAAUUAGGAAGUUCUGUGGGGUUUCUUUGAUGCCCUGCACCUCUGAGGUCAGCUGCUUAUAAAGGUCGGUUGCACUUUUCUCUUGAUAAUGACUUCGGAGUAUUCGCCUCAGCAUGGGUAAGGUUAGGUUGGUUUUGCCCUCUAAAUAGCUGCGGAGUUGCAUGCCUGGAGAUAUCGCUCUUAUCACUGCAUCUGCUAUCUCGAGUUCCAGAAACCCCUUGCUUAAGCCAUGUUCAAUUUGACGUGCUAGGCUCGAAAAAGUCAGCUUGUCUCUCUGACCGGGCUCACCGAUUUGGCCAGCAAUCUUAAAAUCCUUUUGCCAUGGGUGAGGUGCAGGACUGUGGACUACACUCUGUGGUGAUUGUCUGGUGGGGGUAAUGCUUUUAAU
ensembl:lncRNA